GCUCGCUCCGCUGCGGCGGGUGGAAGCUGGAGGUGGGGGUGCUGGGAGGGAGCUGAGUGCGGUGUAGGGGUAUCGUCCUUCUGUUCUCCGAUCUGCGUGCUCCUGUAGAGGCAGGAAGGAGAUGGAGAGAAAUUCGCUCCGAAAGUCUACAUUACUGACCUGCAUUUCUGUUUAUCCAACAGAACCCCUCUCCCUGUUGUCUCUCAUUCCUCUUGCUUACGAAGUCGAGUCAGCGGAGUUCAGGCACUGGAGCUGUAAGAAACCAUGUCCCUUACUCUGAGUUCCACCUUCGAGGAUUCCAGAGGAAAGUAUGCCUGCUGGCUGGCACGUCUGCAGCCUGAGGACAUCUGCUGUUGACCUCCUCCCCCACCAUGGGCCGCGCCUCCAACCACUCCCCAGAGUAGAAACCUGAGAGACCUACAGGACACCCUGAGAUGCCACCCUCAGGAGCGGGCACUCCCAGCAGCCUGGCUUCCCUUUGACUUCCUUUUUGACUUUGUUCAGACUCUUCCUGACUACUCCUGAAUUGCUUAUGUUAUUCAAAUGUCAUUGUAACCUA